GAUGUGAUGUGGGGAUGGAUCUGUGAGAGGACUUUAAUCUCUGAGCGUCAUUAAAUUCUCCAUGAGGAACCUCUGGGAGGAAGCAGGGAGGGAGUGGAGGGGGAUCAGCACCUCCUCUGAGGUAUGAAGAUCCAAAUCACGGAAAGAUCUGUUAUGCUGAAAAUCCCAGGUCCAAGUAUUCUGCAUAACAGGUUCCAUACCUGUACUGUAGGAGAGUCCCAUCGCCAUCUUCUUCUUCCUCUCUAUGACCUGGUCCGGGUGCACAUGUACAGCAGAGGGAAAAGUUGGAUUUUUGAGUUUGGAACCACAGCGCAAAUCCAAGAAGUGAAAGAAGCUUGCAACCUGGUGCUUCUAUAUUAGUACCCUGGGCCGCUGCAGAUUUCAUGGAACAGGAGCACUGAUUCGGUGUCUUAGGCAAGGAUUUAUAAUCACUGGGGGGGGGGAGGUGAUCACUUUUGCCCCCCCCUUCACAGUGAUUAUACUUUUACUUCUCCUUUAAAGAUAUAGCUGUUUUCGCAAAGUACAUUUUUCUUCUUUUUUUGGCUUUUGCAUAUUUACCCUUAGGAUUUCCAUUUUGUUGUUGUUUGUUGUUCAGACAAAUAAGCCUAAUUUCUAGAAAUGGGUGUACCAGAAUGUCGACUAGUUUAAUAUAUUUAUCUACUCUUCUGCUACAUUUAAACCUCUGCUUACAGCUCUGUGUGGGUGUCUGAAAACACACUGCACCCGUUCACAAACACUUUCCUCCGUACAUGCACACAUCUCUGCAGUGAUGCAACCCAAAUAUUCACCCAUCAUAAUGUUAAGCAUGGCACAGCUAAUUAUCUGGACUGGUUUCUUAGCAACCCUUGAGCAUGUUUGACUUUAUCCCAAAAAUAAGACCAAUUUCAUAUUGAUUUGGAGUCUUUUUUUAAUUAACAAAAAAAUCAAAAUUUAGGAACAGUAAUAGAUGCAAUAUUAUAGAUAUUUCCUUUAUAUAUACCCUAGAUAUUUAGAUAUUUGAUGCAUAGAAAGGCAAAUAUUUGAAUUUCCGGCAAAAAUCUAUGAAAUAAACACCAAGUAAGAUGAGUUUAUUUCCAUGGAAACGCCAAGAAUAUUCAUCUUUUCACAUACUGCUACUUCUAUGGCAUGUGGGUUCAGGGUUUGUUUUACAGAAGAGAAGGUCAUUUGUCCUGGGUCCCGAAUGCCACAGGACCAUUUCAAAUAAAACCAAAUUAGAGUACAUUA